GUAACCACCAUUCCCUCAGCGCAUCCACACAGACACGCACACACAAGCACGUCAGGACCCUCUGUUUUGCAUAAGGAGUUGCUCUCCAGUGAUGUUUUGGGCACUGAAUUCAGAGACAUACUGCUCCAGAUUUAGGCUCAUUAGCCAGUGAGAAACCUGCUGCACGCUCCAUUCAUGAACGGCCCGACUCAGACACUGACUGUGUUUGGGAGACUGUCCGUCAUCAAGAAUCUGAGAGUUUCAGGAGAAGGCUGAAGGGGACUUGCAGAUGCAGGCAGGUUCCUGAAGGAAUAGGAUCCUUUCCGGCUUUCGUUAAACCACGAGAAAGGCAGGCCCGCUGAUGGCGUGGAGGCCUGAGCAGUGGAGGACAGCUUCGGUUUCCAGUGUUCCAGCCUGCCGCUGAAGAUCCUGGGUUAUGAAAAGAACGGGUAUGUUAGACAAAGAAAAGGCAGAUGUAAAACUUAUUGAAAUGAAUUCUGAAGGGACUCUGAAUAGAGUUUGAAGUCAUAGUUUGAGAAAUUAUUCUACACAACGGAUAGAGUAAAAAUGUUGCCCUUUUGACUAGAACGUUAAUCUUAAUAGUUAUCUUUUUUUUGUUAAUU